rnacentral:rRNA from 1 species
GAUGAACGCUAGCGGGAGGCCUAACACAUGCAAGUCGAACGGGAUCCCCGAGCAUUCGGGGUGAGAGUGGCGCACGGGUGAGUAACGCGUAUGCAACCUACCUGUAACAGAGGGAUAGCCCAUAGAAAUGUGGAUUAACACCUCAUAGUUCUAUUAGAUCGCAUGAUUUGAUAGAUAAAACUCCGGUGGUUACAGAUGGGCAUGCGUGACAUUAGCUAGUUGGUAAGGUAACGGCUUACCAAGGCUACGAUGUCUAGGGGGUUCUGAGAGGAUGAUCCCCCACACUGGUACUGAGACACGGACCAGACUCCUACGGGUGGCAG